rnacentral:rRNA from 1 species
CGGUACUCAGUUCGGAUUGAAGGCUGAAAUUCGCCUUCAUGAAGCUGGAAUUGCUAGUAAUGGCAGGUCAGCAUACUGCCGUGAAUACGUUCCCGGGCCUUGUACACACCGCCCGUCACACCAUGGGGGGUUGGGAAUGCCCGAAGUCCGUAGCCUAACCGCAAGGGGGGCGCGGCCGAAGGUGGGUUCGAUAAUUGGGGUGAAGUCGUAACAAGGUACC